rnacentral:rRNA from 1 species
GACGAACGCUGGCGGCGUGCUUAACACAUGCAAGUCGAACGGAAAGGCCCUGCUUUUGUGGGGUGCUCGAGUGGCGAACGGGUGUGUAACACGAGAGUAACCUGCCCUUGACUUUGGGAUAACUUCAGAAAACUGGGGCUUAUACCGGAUAGGCGCUCCUGCUGCAUGGUGGGGGUUGGAAAGAUUCGGCGGUUGGGGAUGGUCUCGCGGCUUAUCAGCUUGGUUGUGGGGUAGUGGCUUACCAAGGCUGUGACGGGUCGCCGGCCUGAGAGGGUGGCCGGGCCAAUUGGGACUGAGAUACGGGCCAGGACCCUACGGGGGGGAAGAGUGGGGAAUAAUGCACAAUGGGCGGAAGGCUGGUGCAGCAACGGCGGGUGGGGGAACACGGCCUUCGGGUUGUAAACCGCUUUCGCCUGUGACGGAGGGUGAGGGAAGGGAAUGGGUAAAGAAGGACCGGCUAAAUAAGGG